UUUGAUAUGCUAAUGAAGGGAUAAUGAGUUAUGACGUCAUAAUAUACGCCCCGCCUCUGUAUUACCAUAUAUAGAAUAUAUACCGAAAACAGCAGUUUAAGCAUAAAAUACGGCUGAUUUAAUACUUCAUAAGUAAAAUAUAACUACGAAUCACUCAUGUGUGUUUUUAUAAGUUUACAACAAUCAGAAUAUACGAAGAAUUUCCAUAACGCAUCUGUCGUAUGGGUGUGAAUCUGCGUCCCAAAAGCGCUCGUCAGACGAUGUAAACACGUGUUGCUGGUAUUCCCGAUGAUGGCGAUCUUUUGAUGAUUUAUCAGAGUAAUUUGAAAAGUGUCACACUGAUUUGACAAAAAAAGGCUGGAAGAAAAUCUGGUACCUGCUUUGUCUUGAGAUUUACAUAAAUGAUGUUCUUAUUGGUGAUCAUUUACCCGCACCCUUAUCCUGGUGUCAUAUACAAGAUGAAAUGAUGGAAAGAAAAACCUGAACUUUAGAAACAGGAAGACUGUGUUUUUGAAGAGAGAAGAGGACCAGAACUAAGAAGUCAUACAAUAAACACAUUGACAUCAUAAAAAGAAAUUGCAAUUUUGAGUUUGCAUGCAUAUUUCAGGUUUAAAUGUUGUCACAGAAUUUUUUUUCAGAAAGUCCCUUUAUCUUCUUGAAUUAAUAAAACAAAUGAACCAAAUAUAAUUGUUUCUAUAUAUAUAAUUUUGUUUGAGAAGUGGAAAGGGGAUGGUAUGUAAAUGGGCAGGAGAGAGAGUCUCUCACAUAGGAGAAUUCAGACUUAUUUAAAUUCAAUAUAUUGAUGUGAA